AUGCUUCUAUACCCAGUUUUAAACAUUUCUUCACUUUUUCCUCAGGUAAUUUAGUUUUUAUUCAGUUGGCAGUCUCAGUCGUGCUUCAAUCCAUUCCACCCUCUUCUUCUUUCCAGUCUCCUCAGACUCAACGAAAGGAAACAAAAGGGAACUCAGAAGAUUUAGUAGAGUGCACCUCCUGCCUGUCCACUCCGCUGGCCAGUCUAAACCCGUGUUUUCACAGAAGCAACUGGAUUGUGUCCUGGCACAAUUAUAGGAAACAUUGAGAAAAUUCAUAGAACAAACUUAGAAUAAUGAAAUAUUACCAAAUAUCAUUCAUGGAGUGAAGAUAAUGAUACAACAUGUUCCCAGCUGGAGUCUUGCUGAGCCAGGGCUAAUUUUACAACUAGGAGAAGGUGGUUGUAUGAAGUGAGGGGAGCUGUGUGCCAGUUCUGUACAAACGCUCUUGCCCCUCUGUGGCCCUCUGUAUUGGGUAAGGAUCACAAAGACGACCCUGUGAAUGCCCCGGGAUCAACUUCCUGCCGCGGACGGCAGAAUGAUUCAAAGCACUGCAGACAUCUGAAAGAGCUUCUUGGUGUUAAAAAAAAGAAAAGAAAAGAAA